AUGGCCGGCGGCGGCGGCCCCCCGGGCUCCAAAAAGCGGAAGCGCGUGGCGGCGAGGAGGUCCAAGGUCAAGCGGGCCAAGGGGAAGAAGCCCUACGAAGCCUCCGCGGCGCGCGGCGGCGGCGGCGGCGGCUCCAAGGAGGAGCCGCAGCCCGUUACCGCCAUGGACGAGCGGGUCGCAGCCGAGGAGAUGUCCGAGUCGAGGGAGCCCGAUUGCAACCUCGAUAAGGAACUGAAAGUACUAUGUGUGAAGUUGAGAUACCAUAACAUGAGCACGAACAGGAGAGGCAGGCUAGUUACCGAGGCUCUCCGUAAAAUGGAUGGGAAAUAUUUGGAAAUUGCUAGAUCCCCUACCGCAUGUGUUCUUCAAUUAUGUGUGAAGUGGUGCUCACAUUCAGAGAGGGAUCCUGUUUUUGUUGCUCUGCAGCCACAUUUGCUCGAUCUUUCUCUUAAUGAACACACUGUUUUCCUUGUGCAUAAUAUCAUAAAAAUGGCCACUAGAAAACAGUUUGCCUCGUUCAUCUAUUCCCUUCGUGGGCAUGUCGCUUCCCUUCUUUGUCACACAAUAGGGGCGGCAGUUCUUGACCAUGCCUUUUGUCAGGCAACGCGACCUCAUAAAAGAAGUUUGUUGUUGGAAUUGUACUCCACUGAGCUUCAGCUGUCCAAUGACCUGAAAGAAGAAAAACCAUGCAGGUUCAGUUUGCUAAACAUAAUUUCCAAGCUUGGACUACAGAAAUCAUCUGUCCUGCAGCAUAUGACUACUGUUGUCCAGCCAGUUCUGGAAAAGGGUAUUGUUGAGUAUUCCAUAGUACACACGGUCAUAUUGGAGUACUUAACAAUUGCAGAUAAGACAUCAGCCUUGGACGUGAUUCGUCAAUUAAUCCCCCAUCUUACUCAAGGGACAUACGCCGUAGAUGAACUAUCAGGUGUCGCCAGAUUUCUAGGGAAAUCAGAAGUGGAGAAGAAAAGAUCUUCAAAACCACUUCUCAUUCAGAUCAUGCAGACGAAGGAAGGAUUAAAAUUAGGGCUUGCUUGCCUCAAGCAUGGCCUUGCGGAGGAUAGGAAGAGGAUUAUCAAAAGCUUGAAGGGGAGGAUUAUGAAGCUUGCUCUCAGUGAUUAUGGAUGCCUUUUCGUUAUUUGUCUUCUCUCCAUUGUUGACAACACAGAACUUGUUACUGAGGUUGUAAUUGAUGUGUUGAAAAAGCAGUUAAAGGAACUCAUAUUCGACAAGCUCCUUGUUGAACAGAACGGGAGACACCCAUUGCUGCAGCUCUUUCACCCACUUUGUUCACGUUAUCUGACUCUGGGUGAAUUGUUUUAUCUGAAUUACAACGUGCCUUCCCUUGUUUCAAAGGUUAACUUUGGUAGUAAGUUGGAUGAUGUAGCUGACAAAGAACAUGGGGGUUCAGAAGACACACUGAUUGCAUCUGAUAGCAAGGAGGACCCGAUUAAACGGCGGCAAGAACUGUUGGUGAAAAGUGAGCUUUAUGAGGUUCUCAUUGAGACUUGCAUUGAAAAUGUUGGACAGUUACUUCGAACAAACUUUGGCAAAGAUGUACUAUAUGAGGUUUCUGUAGGUGGAAAAAAUAACUUCUUGGAGGGGGUCACUGACAGGAUCCACGUACUUCACAAUGCUAUAGCUUGUGACGCAGCACGCCCGAGGACAGAUGACGGUGAUGAGCACGCCUUUGAUAACUACCACUCCAGCCGCACAAUCAGGAGAAUGAUACUUGAUUGUCCUGCAUUUGCUGCUACCCUCUGGAAAACAGCCCUCGAAGGGAAAUGCAAGUUAUAUGCAGAUGGAUUCAGCUCCAUGGUGCUGGCUGCCUAUCUGGAAUCUCCAAAUUCCGGGGUGAAGGAUCUUGCGAAAUCCGAGUUGCAACCGCUCAUCGACGGUGGCAUACUGAAGCCCCAGGACCAUAAAGCAGAGGAGAAGUCUGCCAUGGAGUGUAGCUCCGACGAGUCGUCAGAGCUAAGCGAUACAGAUACUGGCUACCAUGCCAAAAAAGCAUACAAGGAUUUGAAGUCUGGCAAGCUCGUGGCGAGGUUUGGCACUGACAGGUUUAGAUGCCCGUUCUGCCCCGAGAAGAAGCAGCUGGACUACCGUUACCGUGAGCUGAUUCGGCAUGUCAUUGUCGUGGGUGCAUCCAGGCGUCCUUGGAAGGUGAGGGCAAACCACCGGGCCCUGGCUAAACAUCUCGAGACGGACCAUGCUGAUGCACCAGGCUCAUCCUCAAUGCCUCUACGACAAGCUGAGGCACUGUACCUCUCUAAAAUAAAGAGAAGUCAAGCUGGGGCAAGAUCUACCUGCAAACUAAGCAGAUAA
rnacentral:rRNA from 1 species